GAUGAACGCUGGCGGCGUGCCUAAUACAUGCAACUCGAGCGAACAGACGAGGAGCUUGCUCCUCUGACGUUAGCGGCGGACGGGUGCGUAACACGUGGAUAACCUACCUAUAAGACUGGGAUAACUUCGGGAAACCGGAGCUAAUACCGGAUAAUAUAUUGAACCGCAUGGUUCAAUAGUGAAAGACGGUUUUGCUGUCACUUAUAGAUGGAUCCGCGCCGCAUUAGCUAGUUGGUAAGGUAACGGCUUACCAAGGCAACGAUGCGUAGCCGACCUGAGAGGGUGAUCGGCCACCCUGGAACUGAGACACGCUCCAGACUCCUACGGGAGGCAGCAGCAGGGAAUCUUGCGCAAUGGGCGAAAGCCUGACGGAGCAACGCCGCGUGAGUGAUGAAGGUCUUCGGAUCGUAAAACUCUGUUAUUAGGGAAGAACAAAUGUGUAAGUAACUAUGCACGUCUUGACGGUACCUAAUCAGAAAGCCAGGGCUAACUACGUG
rnacentral:rRNA from 1 species